rnacentral:lncRNA from 1 species
GACGGGCCAGCUCUAGGCCAGGCCAACCUACCCAAGCCCCACCUCCUAGACCGUCCCACCCAUCCCCGCCUCCAGGCCCUGGGAGCUGGACUGAGGACCAGGCCCUAAGAAGGUGCCUCCCGCACAACCACAGGCCCAGGCGGGCCACGGAAGACGCUGCCCGGGCCCUGCGGAGGGCUGGGGCUGGGGCUGGGGCUGGGGCUGGGGCCGGGGCCGGGGCCGGGGCCGGGGUUGGGGUUGGGGUUGGGGCUGGGGCCGGGGCCGGGGCCGGGGCCGGGGCCACAGACUUCACUGCUGGACAUGAAUAAAGUCCACGGUCGUGGUC